rnacentral:rRNA from 1 species
GAGUAUCCUACGGGAGGCAGCAGUAGGGAAUCAUCCGCAAUGGGCGAAAGCCUGACGGUGCAACGCCGCGUGAGUGAGGAAGGUUUUCGGAUCGUAAAACUCUGUUGUUAGGGAAGAACAAGUACCGUUCGAAUAGGUCGGUACCUUGACGGUACCUAACCAGAAAGCCACGGCUAACUACGUGCCAGCAGCCGCGGUAAUACGUAGGUGGCAAGCGUUGUCCGGAAUUAUUGGGCGUAAAGCGCGCGCAGGCGGUCUCUUAAGUCUGAUGUGAAAGCCCACGGCUCAACCGU